AUUGUUGAUUAUACGAGAGGUUCAUAGACUUUACACCCAUCAAAGCUCUAUGACCCCAACUCUGUUUUAGUCUUUUUCAAAUUUUGAUAUGAUAUUUGUAGUCUUUAUAUUGCUGAAUAAGAGAGAGAAAGAAGAGAGAACCUUGUUAUAAAAUGCCCACUAAAUGCUAAAAUGGAAAGAAAAGGAAAUUAAUUGCAUGUUGUAAUUGUACCUUUGCCAAAUAAUUGAAAACAUUCCAUGCCAUAUAGUUAGAACCAGAAGAUUUGAUCCUUUAUAACCGAAAUCUACGGCUGGAAUUUCCAAUGAUAUUGUUGGCGCUCUCCGUCACAGCAAAUAGUAGUUCUCCAAUCAAUUGCAGGCCACUUAUAUAAUGUGAGAGGAGGAAGCCUACUAGGGCGUAGAAUUAUUAUGGGUCCUUCUGCAGAGAAUUGGGCCUCAAUUCAUUUAAGACUUUGCCUCUGUCAGGUACUUUGCUAUUUCUCUAUUUUAAUAUAUAAGGAGUUGAAAAUUGCAUAGCAUUGGAAGGUAGAAUGGUCGGCCGCCAUUUAAACUUUGGGAGGGAACGCUUUGGUCUUUUGAUAAUACUUUUAAUCUUCAAAUGAUCAAAUCCUAUCUAUCCUGUGGUGGCCUAAGCCUAAUCGCACUAUCUUUUCUUUUUUCACUUUCUAUCACAUGUAAUGCAAAACCAAUUUCAUUUUUCAGCAUCAUCUAUAAAACAUCCCUUUGUCCACUAAUGUAAUGUCUCUUUAACCCCUUCUUUUCGUGUUUGUGUAUAAAAUAAUUUAUUGAAAGGCUCAACGAGUU